GCAGGUAGAGGUUGCGGUUUUAGAUGAGUAACCGCUGUGCUAAUCCUCCGACGGAUUACAGCGGCAAAAGGCUACACCGCCGAAGAACAUAAGCGUCGGAGCUUAUGUAUCUGGUUCUGUAUUGAAUAAAUGCAGAAUUGUCAUCAAGCAAUAAGCUUCAGGUGGAGAGCUAUCG
rnacentral:ncRNA from 1 species